rnacentral:rRNA from 1 species
UGUGAACGUUACCAAACUGUUGCCUCGGCGGGAUCUCUGCCCCGGGUGCGUCGCAGCCCCGGACCAAGGCGCCCGCCGGAGGACCAACCAAAACUCUUUUUGUAUACCCCCUCGCGGGUUUUUUUAUAAUCUGAGCCUUCUCGGCGCCUCUCGUAGGCGUUUCGAAAAUGAAUCAAAACUUUCAACAACGGAUCUCUUGGUUCUGGCAUCGAUGAAGAACGCAGCGAAAUGCGAUAAGUAAUGUGAAUUGCAGAAUUCAGUGAAUCAUCGAAUCUUUGAACGCACAUUGCGCCCGCCAGUAUUCUGGCGGGCAUGCCUGUCCGAGCGUCAUUUCAACCCUCGAACCCCUCCGGGGGGUCGGCGUUGGGGAUCGGCCCUCCCUUAGCGGGGGCCGUCUCCGAAAUACAGUGGCGGUCUCGCCGCAGCCUCUCCUGCGCAGUAGUUUGCACACUCGCAUCGGGAGCGCGGCGCGUCCACAGCCGUUAAACACCCAACUUCUGAAAUGUUGACCUCGGAUCAGGUAGGAAUACCCGCUGAACUUAAGCAUAUCAAUAAGC